AUUUUGGUUUUCUAAUGACCUAAAACACCUAAAAACAUAUUCUAAGACAAGUUCUAAGUAAUAUGACUCAAAGAAAUAAGGUGGGGUUGAUUUUGGACGAAAUUAAUUAAAACAAAACAAGAACAAAGUAAACAUAUUUUUAGACAAAGUUAAGUAAAUUGAUGGGUGAUAGAUCAACUAGAGGGUUCUUCUCCACACAUGAUACACUUGCAUUCAACUUUGAUUUCCAAUUGCUUCUUUCAAUGAAUUAUGAAUCUCAACGCCCUAGGUUAACUGUGAUAGCACUUUUUUAACCUUCAAGUUUUCCUAAAGUUAGUGAAUUG
rnacentral:lncRNA from 1 species